rnacentral:rRNA from 1 species
UACGUAGGGUGCAAGCGUUAAUCGGAAUUACUGGGCGUAAAGCGUGCGCAGGCGGUUUUGUAAGACAGGUGUGAAAUCCCCGGGCUUAACCUGGGAACUGCAUUUGUGACUGCAUAGCUAGAGUACGGUAGAGGGGAUGGAAUUCCGCGUGUAGGCAGUGAAAUGCGUAGAUAUGCGGAGGAACACCGAUGGCGAAGGCAAUCCCCUGGACCUGUGACUGGACGCUCAUGCACGAAAGCGUGGGGAGCAAACGAGGAUACGAAACCCUAG